UUAAUCAAGAAUAACUUAAUUAAUUAAAUAAUUAAUUAAUCAUAUUAAUUAAUUUCCAUAUUAAUCAAUUAACAUGCAUACAAUACAAUAUAACCUUUAUAUCAUACAUUUUAAUGCAUGAACAUGUUAACCUAUGGUGGGAUUUUAAAUCUAUAUGACAUUCAAAAUGCACAUACAAAUUUAAAGUAAUUUAAUCAUACAUCACAUGCAUAAAUAAAAAAAAACACCCUAAAAUGGACUGAUUUUUGGCUCCUAAAUUAAGCUAAGUGCUAAAUUAUUACAUAAUUAAUUUGGUGUAGUACAGAACCACUCCCAAAAAUUUCGAACCGGCUAAAAAACCAACCGAACCGCUUGAACCGGCCCAAAAACCAAAUUUAUUGGCUUGAACCGGCCCAGGCGCACACGGGUCGUGCGAAGGCAGGCGCGCGGGCGAAGGCGGGCGCGCGGGCGCGCGGCGCAUGCGGGCGCGCGGGCGCAAGAGGGCGCGCGGGCGCAGGAGGGCGCGCGGGCGCAGGAGGGCGCGCGGGCGCAGGAGGGCGCGCGGGCGCAGGAGGGCGCGCGGGCAUGCGGGCGCGUGCGGGUCGCGAAGCGGGUCAAAACCGGGUUUUCGGGUCUGUGACCUUCUUUUCUUCAUUUUUUUCAAUUCUCUCACCCGGUUGAACCAAUUACAGCCUAGCUUCAACUCUAAUGACUUUUUUUAUUUUUUUUUAAAAAUUACAAACACUUUGCAACAAUAAAAAUAAGCCAUUAACAAGGCUAAUUACAAUAAUUAGAACAAAAACACUUAAUCUAGAGCCAAAAUCAUAAUAUAUCCAUUUUAGUUCAAACCAAAAUUUAUCUAAUAAAUAUGAACCCACCACAUGCAAUUGGGUAAAAAUAAAGCAUGCUCUGAUAUA
rnacentral:lncRNA from 1 species